GCGGUCCAAUUGAUCGACGAUCACCUCCGCCAAGGGAAUCACCAUCGUAGAGGAGAUCUCUUUCUCCCCGUCCAAACACGUCCUCUAUUGAUCUCCUACACACAGUCAAAGUCAUUAUUUCGAUAAUCUAUGUGCUCGCCUAAUUAGAUUUAUAGCACAGGAGGUCGACGCACUGCGAUGAGAGUUGAUAGGAAAGGUUGACGAUUUGUUACGAGAGUUGAUAAGAAUGGUCGACGAUUUAUUCAAUGAUGUUCGAGUGCUACGGGGCCACUUUGUAGACUGAGGGUAAGAGAGGAUAACAUAGAAGACAGGUGAUGGGGUGCCAGAAAGGGUGACAAAGAAGUGAUAUAGAAAGUAGGCGAUGGGACGCCAGAAAGGGUAAGGGAGAAGGGACCACCCACAGUUGUGGCCAGAUGAUGCAUUAGAAUCAUUUUUGUUAUCUUUGGAAUGAGAGCUUGUGGCCCUGAUGGGAGGAGAGGUGGCAAUCCCCAAGGCGGAUGAGGUGGUGAUCUCUAGUGGAAAGAUUGGGGUAAGAAGUAUGUCGCUGGCAUGCCAAAGUAGGUGGUCGACAAGAGGCUGAUAUUGCCAUCGCAAUACGUCGUUUCUCCGUUUAUGGCUGAGGUGGAAGUUCAUCGACAGGACGUACCCCAAUCUAUUUCGAAAAGUGGACAAUGCUAAGUAGAAAGCAUUCGAGAUGAAGUAUAGAAGAAUUUUGCUGGGGUAAGUAUUUUAUGAAUUUAGUAAUUAUGCUAUGCUAACUCAUAUAUGCUUCUUUUAACAUUUUCUCUGUUUCUUUUUCAGAGCUAGCCACAUGAUAGCUGAAAGGAUAAUCCCAAACGUUUACAAGUGGUUCCAUAACAUCACUACUUUGGGAACUUGGCUCCUCGACGAUAUAAGCGAAGAAAUCAUAUUGUUAUUUUUAUGUAUACAUAAUUUUUUGUUUAUCAAAUGAAAUAACUCUCUUUUUUUAUUGUUGUUUCUUGGUAUAGCACUUUGACUUGUCCAUGAACUUGUUG
rnacentral:lncRNA from 1 species